AUUUUAGCGAUGAAUGCCUC
rnacentral:rRNA from 1 species